UUGGCCAGCCACUUGUGUUUUAUGUAGGGGACUCAGACCAGCAGAUUCCCACUGUUUAUCCACUGUUUGUGUUGAUCUAGUGUUUGGCCAGCCACUUGUGUGUUUUGGGGGCUCAGACCAGCAGAUUCCCACUGUUUAUUCACUGUUUGUGUUGAUCUAGUGUUUGGCCAGCCACUAGUGUGUUUUGGGGGCUCAGACCAGCAGAUUCUCACUGUUUAUUCACUGUUUGUGUUGAUGCAGUGUUUGGCCAGCCACUUGUGUGUAUGUAGGGGACUCAGACCAGCAGAUUCCCACUGUUUAUCCAUUGUUUGUGUUGAUGCAGUGUUUGGCCAGCCACUUGUGUGUAUGUAGGGGACUGAGACAAGUUUAUUUAAUGUUCAGUGACCCGUUUGCAGGCACAGGGGUGUUGACGAGCUGGGUGUGCAGGAGACAGACAAUUACAAAGGAGGCCAUGUCGGAGGUGCCGGUGGUGGGGUCGCCAGUUCCGGAGUACGAGGUGGAGGAGGAAAAGGAAGAGGAGGACGAGGAGGAGGCACGGAUAAGGAAAGAAGAAAAGAUUAUUAGCUGUAGCCCUCCCUCCAGCUGAUAAGGGGAUAUUAAGGAGCCCUUCCUACAGGUUCGUUCGAUGCAAGGAGUUGGCACAGGAGGCGUCCGAGGCUGUGUAGAGCGGCCGUCUGAGCCAUAGUAAGCCACAGCUUACUAUGUUCAACAGAUGCCUGAAGGAAGUGUGUGUAAGGGAGGAUAAAGAGAUCAUGCUGGCCUAUGCAGACGAUGUCGCUGUCGUGACAGGAAGCCAACAAGAUCUUCAAGAGGCCAUGACAAGAUGGAAUGAUGUUUUAAAUAGGGAAGGAAUGAGAAUGAACAAACAAAAAACUUAUUUACUAGUGGACAAGCAACAAGUGAUGGUGUGGCUCUGAGCCACUGUAGUAGGGAUGUUAUGGUUUAAGUGUAGGAAGUUGCAAAUGCUCACCUAACAAUUGCACCUUAGUAGAAAAACACAAACAGGAAGUUUAUGCAAGUUUUUUAUCCUUAUAUAAAAUGUUGUAUUGCAUCAAACCUCCAUACAUUACUGUCUCUAUCCAGUAUGAGACCGGUGUUCAGGAAGCACAAGCAUGUGCUGAGUAACAAGAAGCCGGCAUUGGUGAAGGUGACAACAUUUCAUCUAUUUAUACAUACUUUUUAUUAUUAAAGCUUAUCUUAUAAUUAUUUCUGAAGAGAUUGACUAAUUUUUGUAGUAUUUAUGACUUAGAACUACGAGUAUGAUAAAGCUAUGAAUUGAUAUAAUUCCUGAUUUGUUUUAUCUUUUCAUUAUCCUUCCUUUGUUAAUUGAGUAUUUUAUAUUACUUAGCUUAAAAAUGCAAGAACGGUUCAGAAGUAUCCAACCUUGGGCUAAGGGCCAAAAUUAUGGUAUCAUUCAAAAUGUCCUUCAAAGAAAGCCCUCUGUAAUCCAACACACUUAGCCCAUUAAUCCUUCCAUUUCUCAUCAAUUUGUUCAACAUUCAUAUUUUUCCCUUAUAGGGUUGAACAAUUUUCAUGGGUUCAGAGCAAAAGGCUUCCUCAUUCCUCCCCAAGGUAUUCUCGGAUGGUAAGCAGGUUUGACUCUGGAGCAAACCUGACCAAGGGCUACUGCCCAAGGCUACAGAGGUUCCUCUCCCUGAGGCUGAAUGCACCAUGUGAGAUGGUUCUGUUAUGUGGAUGAAUGUCAUGGUGGAUAGCAGUGCCACCACAUUCCUACAAUCAUCUAUCACUCCACUGCUCAAACGCUUCUGCAACCAAUGAUAGGUAUGCUGCCACAUUCUGCAUGGUCUCCUUGGCUCUCAGAUAAGGAUACUGUCAACAGGUUUGGGAUUGCCAAAAAAAUCAUAAGGAGCUAUGUCUGAAAAGUCCAGAGAGAGAGAGAGAGAGAAAGAAUGAGCAAGAGAAAGAGUAGGAUGAAGCAAAGGAAGAGUCAAGAGGGAGGAAGAGAGAGUAGGACAAGAAAAAACAGAACAAAUAAAUCCCCUACACGUCUUGUCUCCAUUCACACAAGCCAUGAAAAGCUUGUCCAUCCCUGAGUGCUCAGAAGCAGUGUUCCACUGAUGAUGUGGAAACUUGAGACACCCAAUCAUUUAAUGGGCUUUAGUAGGUUUUGUCACCAGUCUUCUGUGUGUCACUGACUACAUUUUGAAAUUUUUAUCUGUUCUAUUUAAUUUUGUGUGUAUGUACACAAUGUUUAUGGUCAAUAAACUAUUUAUAAAACUAUUUAUCUGUGUGAGUAAGAUAAAAGCAGUUAUUGUUAUUAUUAUUAUUAUUAUUAUUAUUAUUAUUAUUAUUAUUAUUAUUAUUAUUAUUACACAUUUUCCUCCUUGUAUUUAAAUAUUAUUAUUAUUAUUAUUAUUAUUAUUAUUAUUAUUAUUAUCAUGAAUUGUUCUUGUUUAUAAAUAAAAUACUGUAACUGA